GCCCCCCUGGCCUAAUGGCUAAGGCGCAAGACUUCUACGAGGAAUCUUGAGAUUGCGGGUUCGAGUCCCGCGGGGGGUU
rnacentral:tRNA from 1 species